AUUCCGGUUGAUCCUGCCGGAGGCCAUUGCUAUUGGGAUCCGAUUUAGCCAUGCUAGUUGUACGAGUUUAGACUCGUAGCGAAUAGCUCAGUAACACGUGGCCAAACUACCCUUCGGACCACAAUACCCUCGGGAAACUGAGGCUAAUAGUGGAUCACACACUCACACUGGAAUGUCGAGUGUGUCAAACGCUCCGGCGCCGAAGGAUGUGGCUGCGGCCGAUUAGGUAGACGGUGGGGUAACGGCCCACCGUGCCAAUAAUCGGUACGGGUCAUGAGAGUGAGAACCCGGAGACGGAAUCUGAGACAAGAUUCCGGGCCCUACGGGGCGCAGCAGGCGCGAAACCUUUACACUGCACGCCAGUGCGAUAAGGGGAUCCCAAGUGCGCAGGCAUAGAGCCUGCGCUUUUGUCCACCCUAGGGAGGUGGACGAAUAAGAGCUGGGCAAGACCGGUGCCAGCCGCCGCGGUAAUACCGGCAGCCCGAGUGAUGGCCGAUCUUAUUGGGCCUAAAGCGUCCGUAGCU
rnacentral:rRNA from 1 species